rnacentral:rRNA from 1 species
UACGUAGGGUGCGAGCGUUGUCCGGAAUUAUUGGGCGUAAAGAGCUUGUAGGCGGUUUGUCGCGUCUGCCGUGAAAAUCCGGGGCUCAACCUCGGGUCUGCAGUCGAUACGGGCGGACUGGAGUACUGCAGGGGAGACUGGAAUUCCUGGUGUAGCGGUGAAAUGCGCAGAUAUCAGGAGGAACACCGAUGGCGAAGGCAGCCUCCUGGGCCAGCACUGACGCUCAUGCACGAAAGCGUGGGGAGCGAACAGG